rnacentral:ncRNA from 1 species
GCAGUGAUGCAGAAGCUGAAAGAAGGGGCUAGCAAAGCUCUGAGCUGACGAACAGAAACAGCCUCAGGCAAGUACGAAGGGCAAGUGUGCCAAAUCUCACAAAACCCAAUAACUAGACGGAAUUCGUAUAUGUAAAGGCU